CUAGUUUCAGUUGAGAGAACAGAGCGCCAUCUCUCUCCUCUCACUCCACCUGGUCUCAUUUCUACAUCAACAGUCAUCGUUGGAUUUCUCCCUUCUCUGAGCACAAAAUCAACCCAGCGAGGUCAGAAACAUCAGCCAGUGGAAGAAAAGACAUGAACUCACCUCCGGCUGCAGAGUCUGAAGAACAUCGGUCCAUGUGAAGUCGACGGGAGGGCGAACAAGUGCUCCGCUCUCCCUCAUUGCCACAUCUCAGCUCCGGACGGCUGUGAGAGCAGCGGGGGAGACGUCGAGGCUCCUGCAGGCUCACAGGACCGUCCGGAUCGUGUUUUCCGUCUCUAAUCAUCAUCACCAUCCUCCUCCUCGUCAUCAUCAUCAUCAUCACCACGGCACAGUCACCGAUUCUUGGUUCCUUCAUCCAACAUUUACGCGCCUGUAAUGUCGGGAGGACACAUCUACCAGGACGGUUUAGGCUGUUGUACUCUGCAGCUGUGUCGUUUUGAUUUCACUUUUGGACGUACACCAAAAAUAAUCGACGCGUAAAAGUCCUUCUUCAUUCGUGCGUAAAAGCUCGUCAAUGAGUGACGCGUUGUGCGUUUCGUCAGUGAGAGCUGGGUAAGUUUUCAGACGCGCUGUUGGCUCCUGUCAGGCGGAGACUUUGGGCAUCUGAGUGAACCUGUUGGAUUAUAAAAACCUCAAUCUGUCACUUUUAGGGGCGAUAAGUUUUGGAGAGUCCGGCGCGUCUUCAGCGGAUUUUUUGUUCGGUUUGUUUUUUUGUUUUUUUGCGCCUUUGUGAUCCCGAAGCCCUUUCUGUGGUGAUUACAUGGUCGGAACAAUGUUUUUAUGCAACACGAGUGCCAUUAAGGACUGGAGCUACUUCCUCUCUCAGAUUUUGCCUCUGAUGAAUAAAACUAGCGGCUUGGUGAACAUGAACAAAGCGGAGGACGUGACGACCACCAUGGUGACGGCUCUGCAGCCGGACAGCGCCAUGAGCGCGAGUAACCCGCCUCUCAACUCCAACCAUACCUCGGGCAUGGAGCACGUCUUCCAGUACUCGUACUCGGAGAGCGACCUGCUGUACACGGACUACCGGACCCCGGCACGAGACUCCAUCCCGCUGCCCAAAGCGGUUCUGUACCUGGUGAUGGCGGCGCUGGUGGUGGUGGCGGUGGCGUACGCGAUAGUUGGACACCUGGUCAAGGAUGUGGUUAAUGACUUUGUCGGUGGAGGCAGGUCGAUCGUUGCCGAGGGUGACGGAGGUGAAGCCAGUGAACCAGAGUGGGUGUACAGCUCCCGUCGACUUAACAACCGCAACAAGACCGAGGUUAACUGCAUCACCAACAACAUGAACGAGAUGAGCGAGCUGAGCGAGAGGCCUCGGCCGGUGGACAUGAGCUACAUAUCCCUGAACCACACCAACUGCCUGAGCCCCAGCAGGCCGGAGGAGGUGGUGGUCACCGUGGACGAGACGUUGCAGCAGCGACCUCCCGACACGCACUCUGGGACUUAACCGUGACCUGCCGACCUUCUCUGGGAGAAAUACAGCAGCGUGUUUGCUCGCGUUUCUUGUUCAAGUGGAUUUAAAAGUCUUUCAUGAAUCAAAGCUCUAUCCACUGUUUUAUCACCUGCAGGUGGGCCGUCAUACCUGUGUAAUGUUGGGCCUGUGCUGGAACAUUGGAGGCGUCAGACGCUGGUGUUUGGAUCAGACUGGACUCCUCUCUGUGGAGCUGAGGACAGAGGACGGCUGCAGCUUUGGUUUUUUUGGGGAAAAUCUUGUUAUUUUUCAUUUUCGUCCUCAUUGUCCUUCCCCCACUUCCUUUUUUCUAAGUGACCCCUUUGUGAAAACUGUUAAUGUGACUCAUGCAGUUCACUGUAACCACAAACAGUAUGUAAUCACUCUGAAUAUACAACACACGCCUGUCAGUGCUUAUUGUAAUAUUGCUGCUAGCAAAGUUAAACACGUCACCUUUAUAAAAACAAUCAAAUCGACGACUUUUGGUUUUCCUCGCUGCAGUGAGAACAUUUUCUUUUUGUUGUAAUUGUUGUAAAAUGUGUAUGAAGCACCUUCAAUGACCGAGAGGCUGCAGAUGUUCACACCUCGUUCUCUUUCUGUAAUAAUGCUGUUAUAGUUACUGGAGGCAAAAAAAAAAAAAAAUUGACAACACAGUGAUCAAAUCAAAGUGUUUUGUAGUUUCAUGUUACUAGCUUGAUAUGAACAAGUGCUAAAUCACCUUUAAGAGCUCUGGUUACACCUGAUUGCAAAAAAUCUAACACAAAAGUAUGAAAGCCAUCGUUGUUAUGUAAAAGAUAUUAAGCCGAGUUAAUUCAGUCGUGGAAAGUUUGUAAUUUGUCGGUGUUCUGGUUUAAUGUCCCCACAUGACGUCACCUCUGAAGCAAAAACUGCUCAUUGCUUGUUCAUUUUUCUAAUGUUUAAUAUUUCAUGUGAAACGGCUUUUUUUCAAUCAAAGCCUUUGUUUACCGUUAUUACCUCACUGUUAAGGGCUACGUACUGCUGCUGAAGGGUCCGUGACACCAACCCGGAGCUACGACUGACGGGGCUUAUCUUUCUGUGCAUGCUGUGAUCAUUACAACCUCUGUACACUGCUACUGACGUACGAACCAGACAUUUGUACACUCGUGCACACGUUCGAGGUGAAGUAGAGUAAAGCGGUGCUGGAAUACAGAUGGGACUUAUUUAAGGGCAGUAUUGUAAAAUGGUGUUUCACUCUGCAGCAGUGAUCAUUUCCCAGACGUUAAGUGUAAAGACUCAGAAUCUGAACCUGCAAAAAAACCCCCUAAUUUUAAUUUUCACCACCUUGAUCACUGUAUUCCUUAUCAAGUCACCUAAUAAAUAUUCAUAGAUGAACGUGUUACUGUUAAUUACUUGUUUGUUAUUUUCAUAUCCAUUACUGAUUUUGACCUCUGGGUACAGGCACGUCUUCUGUUGUCAUGGAGAUAAGUGUCA
rnacentral:lncRNA from 1 species